ensembl:lncRNA
GUUUAGUUAAUAUAACAGCUCCAGGUUAACUGUUGAAGGGGAUAUAUAGUUUAAUUAAUGUAACAGCUCCAGGUUAACUGUUGAAGGGGAUAUAUAGUUUAAUUGAUAUAACAACUCCAGGUUAACUGUUGAAGGGGAUAUAUAGUUUAAUUAAUGUAACAGCUCCAGGUUAACUGUUGAAGGGGAUAUAUAGUUUAAUUAAUGUAACAGCUCCAGGUUAACUGUUGAAGGGGAUAUAUAGUUUAAUUGAUAUUACAGCUCCAGGUUAACUGUUGUCAUGACGUUGGCCUCUCUGAGUAUAGCAACCCCAUCCCCCUCUCCCUGCCUCCCCCUUUCCUCCUUCAACUAGGCUGCUGUGGUCAGAGGUCGUAAAUUCCUCAGAAGACCCUGUCUCAUGGCCACACAGUAUUAGAGAGAGGGUAAACUUUCAUAGAGGACAAAGGAAAUCCUUCCACCUCACAGAACUUGAGGUACGAA